rfam:Danio rerio chromosome 21, GRCz11 reference primary assembly.
GGGGAUGUAGCUCAGUGGUAGAGCGCAUGCUUUGCAUCUAUGAAGUCCUGGGUUCAAUCCCCAGCAUCUCCA